UACAGAGACUGCAAGCGUUAUUCGGAUUCACUGGGCGUAAAGGGUGCGCAGGCGGUCGGGUGUGUCAGAUGUGAAAUCCCGAGGCUCAACCUCGGAACUGCGUCUGAAACUACUCGACUAGAGUACUGGAGAGGGUAACGGAAUUCACGGUGUAGCAGUGAAAUGCGUAGAUAUCAGGAGGAACACCGGUGGCGAAGGCGGGUCUCUGGGCAGUAACUGACGCUGGAGGAGCGAAAGCGUGGGGAGCGAACAGG
rnacentral:rRNA from 1 species